UAUAUAUUAUAUCUAAAUAUUUUGCUCACAGAUCAUUAUUAACAUUCUGUAUAUAAUUCAAUUUUAUUUACUCUCCCCUUUUUAUUAUUUUUAUUUUUAUUUUUAGCUGAAAAGACGUAAAGGCAGUCAGCCCAGUGGUGUUUCUGGAGAGGGAUUCCUUCAGAAAUGGAGAAGACAGAAAGCUGCGGAGGCAGAUAUAUGCAGCAGUCUAAAAUAUCAAGCUCAACAGCUCACUCAAGAGCCAACCCUCACAAACCUUCCUAAAAACUAAAAGAGCUAUUACUGAGUCUCAGCGAAUCUUGCCAUGAUCAGCUCUUCCCAGAAGAGAAGGAAGACCAAGGAAAUGAUUUGCUCAGGAUGAGAAAUGAAGAUGGCCAUCUUGUGCUCAAACAAACAGAAGUCCUCUGAUGAUCUCAUCAGCCAAAUGAGGGGUUUUGACCAAGUGAUGCUCUUGAAAGGAGUGAAAGAAGAGGAUGUGCUAAAUUCUCUUCAGAGAAAAAGCUUCUCAAAAGGUCUCAAAACAGCUUGAAGAAUGGUCUGGGAUCUUAGGACUGAGAGAUCCUCUGGCUGAGAACAAGCUACACCACAUCAGUGCUGGAUAUCAACCACAAACUGUUUCCAGACACGAGAGAAGAAGAACACGAUGGGGAGAUGAAACCAGUUUAGAUGUGAUGAUGGGAAUCAUUAUUUUCUGGAACAGUAUCUCAUGUCUUAUAUAUAUAUCACACGAUCUGUAUCACAGUUGACUGGAUGGGACUGUGACUUUUAAGGACAUUUCAUCACUCAUCUGUGUGAACUGAUUUAUAUAUGAGGUUAAUGUAUUUUUGAUGAUAAUUAUUUUCAUUGAAUCGUAUUCGUCUUGAUGCUACUUUAUCAACUUUAUAGUCUAUGCUUCAAUAAAAUGAAAAUGGUGAAUAUUGUGUUCUGAAGAUUCUUGGUAAAUACAUAAUUUAACUAGGUAGGCUCAUAUGU